CCUACGGGUGGCUGCAGUGAGGAAUAUUGGUCAAUGGGCGCGAGCCUGAACCAGCCAAGUCGCGUGAAGGAUGAAUGCCCUAUGGAUCGUAAACCUCUUUUAUAAGGGAAUAAAGUGUGGAACGUGUCCCUUUUUGUAUGUACUUUAUGAAUAAGGAUCGGCUAACUCCGUGCCAGCAGCCGCGGUAAUACGGAGGAUCCGAGCGUUAUCCGGAUUUAUUGGGUUUAAAGGGAGCGUAGGCGGGUUGUUAAGUCAGUUGUGAAAGUUUGUGGCUCAACCAUAGAAUUGCAGUUGAUAAUGGCAGGCUUGAGUAUAGUUGAGGGAGGCGGAAUGCGUGGUGUAGCGGUGAAAUGCUUAGAUAUCACGCAGAACCCCGAUUGCGAAGGCAGCCUGCUAAACCAUGACUGACGCUGAUGCACGAAAGCGUGGGGAUCAAACAGGAUUAGAUACCCGGGUAGUC
rnacentral:rRNA from 1 species